rnacentral:rRNA from 1 species
CAAUAGUGUAUAUUUAAGUUGUUGCAGUUAAAAAGCUCGUAGUUGGAUUUCGGGUGGGACGCAGCGGUCUCGCAUUGCGUUUGUACUGCUGCAGCCCUCCUUCUUGCCGGGGGCGGCCUCUCGGACUUCACUGUCUGGGGGUCAGAAUCGGCGAUGUUACUUUGAGUAAAUUAGAGUGUUCAAAGCAAGCUUACGCUCUGAAUAUAAUAGCAUGGGAUAACACGACAGGACUCUGGCCUAUCGUGUUGGUCUAUAGGACCAGAGUAAUGAUUAAGAGGGACAGUCGGGGGCAUUCGUAUUCCGUUGUCAGAGGUGAAAUUCUUGGAUUUACGGAAGACGAACAUCUGCGAAAGCAUUUGCCAAGGAUGUUUUCAUUG